GUAGCUUGCUACUUUGCCGGCGAGCGGCGGACGGGUGAGUAAUGUCUGGGAAACUGCCUGAUGGAGGGGGAUAACUACUGGAAACGGUAGCUAAUACCGCAUGACCUCGAAAGAGAAAAGUGGGGGAUCUUCGGACCUCACGCCAUCGGAUGUGCCCAGAUGGGAUUAGCUAGUAGGUGAGGUAAUGGCUCACCUAGGCGACGAUCCCUAGCUGGUCUGAGAGGAUGACCAGCCACACUGGAACUGAGACACGGUCCAGACUCCUACGGGAGGCAGCAGUGGGGAAUAUUGCACAAUGGGCGCAAGCCUGAUGCAGCCAUGCCGCGUGUGUGAAGAAGGCCUUAGGGUUGUAAAGCACUUUCAGCGAGGAGGAAGGCAUCAUACUUAAUACGUGUGGUGAUUGACGUUACUCGCAGAAGAAGCACCGGCUAACUCCGUGCCAGCAGCCGCGGUAAUACGGAGGGUGCAAGCGUUAAUCGGAAUUACUGGGCGUAAAGCGCACGCAGGCGGUUUGUUAAGUCAGAUGUGAAAUCCCCGCGCUUAACGUGGGAACUGCAUUUGAAACUGGCAAGCUAGAGUCUUGUAGAGGGGGGUAGAAUUCCAGGUGUAGCGGUGAAAUGCGUAGAGAUCUGGAGGAAUACCGGUGGCGA
rnacentral:rRNA from 1 species